AGAGAUCAUGAUGCAGACGUCCUUUUGGAUUUCUUUUUAAUAAUGUGUGACCCUUCACCUUUGAUCCCUUGACCUGCAUUACCUUGAUGGAGCAAUUAGCUGUUCAUUUUGGAUUAGCUGGUGUUAUGAGGAAUGCCUGAUCUGACUGGAGAAAUGAAUCAGCUGUGUUAAAAUUUUGGUAGCAGAAAGCAGAUGUGCAGAGAACGAUGGAUUACAAGUCAGAAGCUGCUGUCUGAUUCCUACAGAGACCUUCAUUUUUUUUUUUUAAUGAAAGUUGUGAUUUUCAUUUAAUAGCUGCAAAACCUUCCACUUGUUGUUCCUAUUCCCUCAUUGAUUAAACAAUUUUCAGAUAACUCCUAGGGAAUUAUACUGCAUGCAUUUAGGGGACUUUUCCUCCAGUGAACCUUGAAUACAUUUUUCCCUUGAAUACAUUUAAACAUGAAGCCCCGGUUUUCUAUUCUAAAGGCUUGUUUCAUUAUUUGAUGCUAAUAUUGUUAGAAGUAUCAGUCUUAUGAGCAUACGUGAAUGAGCUCGGUCUUUUUGUGAGUCCAUUGGAGUUGUGAGUGGCCUUCUGUGUUAUUAGGAUGGUGAAGAUCUUUCAUAAGCCAGAAUAGAUAACAUUUCAAAAAAACACUUGCUAACUUUUACUUCCUAUGCUGCCCCCCCCCCCCCCCCUUAAAGUCAUUCAAAGCUACUGUGCCCCAAACCAAGUUCAAGAUCAUUUCCUGAGAUCCAGUUCCUGUCCUCCCCAAACUAUGAGGAAAGAUGACUGACAACUGUUUGGUACAAAUACCCCAUUUGGCCACCUAGCAUUAAUGUAAAUUUUAAUUGUUUUUACUAUAAGUAACACGCAGUAUAUUAGAAGAACUCUUAUGUACCAGAUGUAGGAUAACAAUAUAUUCUCUUUUAUAACUUUAUAUAUUCAUUAAACCUCUUGACAUUUAUACUUCUCAAACAUAGGAGAGUUGAGCCCAGGGAGGCUAACAGUUGCAGAGCCAGGAAUUAGACCCAGGAAGUCCACUUCUUAGUCCCCUGCCUCUGCUAAUGGGCCAUAGCAGGGGAGUGUCUGCAGGCAUUGUACUCUGUUAUAUCAACAUGUACUUAGAAACGUUAAUCUGAAUUAGAGAGAUGAUUGCCUAUAAUGACUCUCCGGGGACCCUGGGUUAGAGAAAACAAAACAAAAACUUAAGUCGUUUACUGAAUAUGCACAGUAAGUAAAAAUCUUUCCAAAAUUAAUACUCAUUGAAUCUGUGCCUUGGUUUCCUUUGAACUUAGACCUUUUUCAGUUCGAUCCUUUAACAUUUUUCUUUCUUUUUUUAACAUGCCUCUGGCCUCUCAUAAACCAAUAACUAAAAAUAACAUCGAAAGAAAUGUGAAAGCACUUUUUUGUAAGUGGGAAGAAGCGAAUGAAUAAUGAAUCUCCAUUUUAAGUAAAAAUUAUGGGUGGGAGUGAGAGGGCAAAGAGGGGACUGAAGUCAAUUUUUUGGUAUCUGUUCUUACAGUUGGCUUUGAGGUUCAAAUGUCCCUGACUCUUUCUGCCUCUGGAAAUGGGGCAAAUUUUCUUCAGUUACAAACAGAAAUAGAUAUGAUAGUCUUGACCUAUUUUACAUUUAUUUAUUUUAGGCUAUUAUCACACAAUUGUUCACGGUUUCAGCAUGAACAGAGAGAUCCAGAGCUGGAGUAAGUAGUGAGGGGGUGGCAAAUUGGGAUUGAAGUUGGCAGGGCUUGUGUGGAGAUCUUCACAAUCCUGCCAGCUCUGUGUCUGGCUCAAGACAUUUCUAUUAGUGAAUUACUAAUACUCAAAAAGCUAAAUGGAUUUCAACCACAAGUAAAAAAGAAAUAGGCCAGAAUGACCCUCCCACCCCUUUCCUUUCAAAUUGAUGUAAAGAAAAAUCUCUUGAGCCACACUCAUGUAGCAAAUUUAAGUCUUAAUUAGGUCACUCAUGUUUUGUUCUUUCCCACAUUUCCCCUCUUCUCCUUUGUUCUUGAUGUGUGGCACCUCAAGCAAACAUGUGAUAAAAAAUAGUGAAGAAGUUUGGGUAAGUGUUAAAAUACUCGAGGUGUCUGAAAUGGUCAGCAGGCAAUUGGGGGCAGGGGUGGGGGGGGUUGGCAACCUGGAAUCUCCUUUUUAGACCGGGGUGGUGAGGGAUGCCAGGGUUUAUCAGGACUUCGGAAUUAUGAAGUGCAAACUUAUUCGGCGUUAUGAUAUCCCUGUCUCUUGAAGUGACUGAUGCUUUAUCAUGUCUAUAAAAAACAGCCAUUUCACUAGAGAUAAAAGCAGACGUGAGAGAAAUGUGAGCCAUGUCUCUGGAAUAGUUUAGUUUUUAAAUUUAAUAUCUGGGAUUUGUUCACAAAAUUCAUGCAGAGAUUAGGGCCACACUGGUGAAGAUAAGAGGUUUGGGGCAAUUAUCUAGAUGAAUCAAGUAAAAACCUAGUUUUCAGAUUGGUGAUAUUUCAGGUGAAGCUGCUUUUGGUUCAGAGAUUACCUGCAUAAUUAUUUCAGUCCUCUACUGUGUGUAUUGAUAUGUCUAGGAAUAUAUGAGAAAAUGGGUAGUUGUCUCCUCUCAAUGAGGAUAUAACAGUAAAUAAUACUCCUCCUGACCUGUUUGUAGGACAAAGGUCUCAAAUCUCCUUCUUCUCCUCUGGCUAACAAAAUCACAUGGUUCAAGGAGCCCUGGUUUCAGUAAGGUCCACAAUGGAGUUGUGUCCAUAUGAGGAAGAAUAAAGUCCACUCCUGAGUUACACCCAUAUAAGGAAGAGGGCUAAGGAUACUGCAUUGCAAUUAGUUAGUUUUUUUCUGUAGAUUGUAACCCUUGAGUAAUCGGACCAAUGAUGAAAAAGGGGAGGGUCCAUUCGAGUUAGGGACUAGGGUAUAAAACAGGGUCUGCGAGCCUCCUUUCUUGGCACCCACUAUCUGCACACUAAGGUGCCUCCUCACAAGAAGGAGAUAAAAGAGCCUUUCUCACAUUGCUGCUGAGUUCCUAAGAAUGAUUGAGAAGAGGAUUGUUUUUCUCUCUCAGAAUAACAGUGGGAUUUUUAAAGACAUUCAAAAUCCCUGGUUUUUUGUGUUUAAAAAUUUUUUUUCUUUUCAACAAAAAACAAUACUGAUUACUCAUUGCCUGUGGUGUGGGCUGUUCUUUCACAGCUCAGGGCAAAGGUGUAUAUAGAUAGCAUUAAGAAAAGAAGUUUGAAGGCCAUGUGCUUGUCAGUGCUUUCAUAACUUUCCUACCAAGUUUUCAUUUCUGCCCAAAGUCCAGUUUUUUGCUCUCCACUAAAUGAGUCAGUGAAAACCAGAAAAAAAAAAACCCAACCCAAAUAUAUUCAUAUUUCCUUUAAUGGGUAGAAAACAUCUACAUUUCUGGGCAUCAAAAUCCAAAUACUACAUCUGGUGGCUUAUAGCAUUGAGAGGUAGAAGAGACCUUAGAGAUUACCUACUCUAGCCCCCUUAUUUUCCAGGUUAAAAAACUGAGGCACAGGAAAUUUCAGAGGUCUGAGAAGCAAAGCAGUGACGCCCAGUGCCAUAAAAACUGGGGAACACAACCCUCUCACCUCCCUACUUUAAACAAAUCACAAAAGGAAUUUCCACAAAGUAGACCACAAUGAAGAUUCUCCAUGGCAUGAAUCUGUUUGGUACUGUUCUUUUCUCCUGUGUGUUUAGAAAGUGUUCUGAGCUUAAUACUAAAUGUAGAAAGUACUGAAUGGGAGAGAACUCCCAGAUUGAGUUUUAAGCAGUAAGUUAUCAAUAGCAGCAGCAGAUCCACAGUAAUAGACUUGAUGCUAUUCAAGAAAGCAAAUGUUGAAAAUAUCAUUAAAAUAGAACUCUGUUAGUAUCAGGAUUGGGAGAUGUCACAAGUCAAAGCAGUCAACCUUCUCUCCCUCUCCACCCCUCCCCCAUGUGCAUUAUGUAUAUGAGAAUUAUGAAGAGGUUCCACUGUAAUUACUCAGUGGAAAUGACCACUUUGAAUUCAUGGAAGGAUGUCUCUUUUGUAAGUAAAGGAAGAAUUGAAAUACGUUUUCAUCUGUGCCUUUUCCUAUAUCUUUUGUACUUAGAUGUGUGUAUGUCCGUACAUGUAAAAAUGCUCCUAUAGACAUCUAAACAGAUUAUUUCAAAUCUAAA